UGCCCCAUGGCUGAGUUGGUCACAGCGUCCGACUGUUAACACCUAGGUGAUGAUAUCGGAAGGUCGUGAGUUCGAGCCUCACUGGGGCAG
rnacentral:tRNA from 1 species